AGAGUUGAUCCUGGCUCAGGAUGAACGCUGGCGGCGUGCCUAACACAUGCAAGUCGAACGGAGUUACGAGAGCUUGCUUUGUAACUUAGUGGCGGACGGGUGAGUAAUGUAUGAGCAACCUGCCUUUCAGAGGGGGACAACAGUUGGAAACGACUGCUAAUACCGCAUAAUGUGCGGGGAGGGCAUCCUUUCUGUACCAAAGGAGCAAUCCGCUGAAAGAUGGGCUCAUAUCUGAUUAGUUAGUUGGCAGGGUAACGGCCUACCAAGACUGCGAUCAGUAGCCGGACUGAGAGGUUGAACGGCCACAUUGGGACUGAGAUACGGCCCAGACUCCUACGGGAGGCAGCAGUGGGGAAUAUUGGGCAAUGGGCGAAAGCCUCGACCCAGCAACGCCGCGUGAAGGAAGAAGGUCUUCGGAUUGUAAACUUCUUUUAUGAGGGACGAAGGACGUGACGGUACCUCAUGAAUAAGCCACGGCUAACUACGUGCCAGCCGCAGC
rnacentral:rRNA from 1 species